rnacentral:lncRNA from 1 species
AUGGGGAUAUUUUUGCUGAAACUUGAGGAGACUGGGAUCGUAAUUUUAAGCAGGAGAAUCCUGAAAUUUUCCAGUGUCUCAUCUACCAUGGUUUCCAGCUGUCACCCAGUUUUAAUGUGUUUCCUCUUGUUGUACUGGAGAGUAAAGAUCCUUCAUUUAGCUGUCAUCCAGACCCAGUGUUUUAGCCUGACACCUGAACUUAAUUUAGAAGAAUAAGAUUAUUGCACUGUAAAAUAAUUCCUAGUAUCUGCAUUUAAG